rnacentral:rRNA from 1 species
UACGACUACAUAUCAGGCAUAUCAAUAAGCGGAGGAAAAGAAACUAACUAGGAUUCCCUUAGUAACGGCGAGUGAAGCGGGAAGAGCUCAAAUUUGAAAUCUUCAAGGUUCUACCUUGACGAAUUGUAGUUUAAAGAAGUGUUUUCUGUUGAAGUUUUGGUAAAAGUUCUUUGGAAUAGGACAUCAUAGAGGGUGAGAAUCCCGUAUUUGACCAGUUAUUUUCCAGCUGUGUGAUACACUUUCAAAGAGUCGGAUUGUUUGGGAAUGCAGUCCAAAAUGGGUGGUAAAUUUCAUCUAAAGCUAAAUAUUGGCGAGAGACCGAUAGCGAACAAGUACCGUGAGGGAAAGAUGAAAAGAACUUUGAAAAGAGAGUUAAACAGUACGUGAAAUUGUCAAAAGGGAAGCGUUUGACACCAGUGUUGUUUUCUCGAAAAUCAAUUAAAAAAUGCUUGAUUUUGUGUUGUAUUGACCUUAAAAGCUUUCUUCACUUUUUUCAUGUCAUUUUUAAUGCACUUUUCGUUUAACAAGUCAACAUCAGUUUCUUUUGUUGUAAAAAGGUCAUUGGAAGGUGGCUUUCUUUUCGGAGAAAGUGUUUAUAGCCUUUGACUCCUGCAAUCGGAGAGACUGAGGUCUGCAGCGUAGAUCCUUCUGGAUUAGAUCCACUUGUGCUAAGUUAUAGCUUUUCAUAGACAACUUGUUGACUAUGUUUAGUCUUGUAGCUUACUCGCUUGUGUAAUUUUACCUACGCUUAGGAUGUUGAACGCGCACAGAGUCUC